GGUAAACGCUGGCGGCGUGCCUAAAACAUGCAAGUCGCACGCACCUUUCGGGGUGAGUGGCAGACGGCUGAGUAACGCGUGGGUGACGUACCCAUUGGUGGGGAAUAACUGCCCGAAAGGGUGGCUAAUACCGCAUUCGCCUGUUGGUUCGAUCCGAUAGGGAAAGUCGCAAGACGCCGAUGGAGCGGCCCGCGUCCGAUUAGCCAGUUGGUGGGGUAACGGCCUACCAAAGCGACGAUCGGUAGCUGGUCUCAGAGGAUGAUCAGCCAGACUGGGA
rnacentral:rRNA from 1 species